ensembl:lncRNA
CCCUGUACUUUUUUUUUAUCAGACCUUGAGACCUGAGACUGGAAGCAAUUGCAAUGGGCACACACUGACACGCUGUUUAAGAAGGAGUCUCCAGUGUCAGCACUUUUGAACAGUCAGUAAGUUUUCCUCCACUGGAAAGUCUUGAGAGCAGAGGGCUUUGUGCUUUCUGGUUUCUUUGUAACAUGACAAGCUGUGGUUUUCUUGUCAAAUAACUUCGAGAGGGAAAAAAAGGCUGUUAUGAUUGAGGUCACAAGCCUGCAAGGUGCUGUCCUUGCCUUCCUGUCUGUCUCCACCGUGAGCUUCAUCUGUGCUCUCUGCAUACGCUGUAGGAAGAAAACUAUGAUUGUACAGGAGAGUAACCAACUCUAUGUUCCACAAAUAUUUCACCGAGGGGGGAGCAAAUUUGCUGUGACAAGGUCAAAAACAGUGACGAGAACUAACCAGAUGAGCACAAAUCCGUGUCAGAGUUCGGGGGAAAUAACUGUCGCACACACACCUAAGAGCCAGCUGGAGACAGCUGUCCAGGACCAGGGGGGCAGUUACGAGAACAUUAAACAAUCAAUUCAUGGUAGUAUGGAACCCACCUAUGUAUGACAUCGGAGACUACGCAAAUAUUUUUCCAACGCAAGAUGUUCAACAUGACUCAGACAGUUACGAUUAUGAAAACACAGAAUUCCUGCAAAACAGCAAACCUGACGACGAUGGUAACGAGCAGUACUGUUAUUUACUGAUAAUCGUGAUGUUGAUGGAUGAUGAUACACCAAUGUUCACUUUUUACCGUUAUCUUUCUAACAGAUGAGCCAGAUUACGUCAACGCAGACACGGCUAACAACUAACACAUAAAUAAAGUUUUACACUGUUAUCCAAGUUAGAUUAAAUAAGUAUUAGAAUAUAUUGGCAUAUUUAAUAGCACAGAAGCAAUGUAGUAUCAAUGAAUUGAAUGCUUCAUGGUUUGCAUGUUGGUCUUAUUUGAACUUUUAGUAUAACUUUUAGAUCCAUGUAAUAAAGGCACGUCAUUGUGUGUGAAGAGUAAGCAAAUUUCUUUUUAUGGAAUGAGAAACAGUAUAAUCGAUGUUUUAAGUGCCACUACAUUGAAAAUAAAAUCUUCCUGAUUUUGGUUUGAGUAGUAAUGACCAUUUCCUAAUAUUUCUCUUUAUAUUACUUUAUAAUAUUUAAUUAUAUGUAUAUUAUUUUAAUAUUCUAUUAUAUGAUGUGAUGCACUCAUGAUAUUUUGUGUUCAUUAUCAUAUCUGGAUAUCUGUAGUUUUCCUGCAAAUAAAAUUCCCCAAGUAUGGAACUUGAUUUACAUCAUUAUUACUGUUUAUCAUCUCAGCAACUAUAAUGAACUUAUGUUUGGAUUUUAAAAUAA